rnacentral:sRNA from 1 species
CAGAAAGGUCAGCCCCCUCUGCAAGUUCUUAGAUUCCUGGAGGAUCUGCAGAGUCAACGUUAGGAGUAUCCAUCCAUUCACCAAGACCAUCAGGAAUGUGCUGAAUGUGCUGUAAAGAAGAGUUGUCAAUUGUGCACAGAAGAUAAGAAAUAUAUGAUGAAUAGAUAAUUGAAAAGAGAUCUUCCAGAAAGAGCAGAAGGAAGUUUCUUCAAUGGCUUCCUUCAGGAUUUUAAUCAUCCUUACAGCCUCUUUGAGAAUGAUUGAACUUCCAAAUUCCCUAAAGUUAAAAUUUUAAAUUCUAUUAAACA